CGCCUGAUAGCAUAGUGGUUAAUGCGUCUGCAUUUUUUGGUGAUACAUACGCGAUAUGUGCAGAAGACCCUCGUUCGAUUCGAGGUUGGGUGA